rnacentral:rRNA from 1 species
GUGGGGAAUAUUGGACAAUGGGCGCAAGCCUGAUCCAGCAAUGCCGCGUGUGUGAAGAAGGUCUUCGGAUCGUAAAGCACUUUCGACGGGGACGAUGAUGACGGUACCCGUAGAAGAAGCCCCGGCUAACUUCGUGCCAGCAGCCGCGGUAAUACGAAGGGGGCUAGCGUUGCUCGGAAUUACUGGGCGUAAAGGGCGCGUAGGCGGCUCUGUGAGUCAGGCGUGAAAUUCCUGGGCUUAACCUGGGGACUGCGCUUGAUACUGCAGGGCUUGAGGCCGAGAGAGGGUGGUGGAAUUCCCAGUGUAGAGGUGAAAUUCGUAGAUAUUGGGAAGAACACCGGUGGCGAAGGCGACCACCUGGCUCGGUACUGACGCUGAGGCGCGACAGCGUGGGGAGCAAACAGGAUUAGAUACCCUAGUAGUCC